rnacentral:rRNA from 1 species
GUAGUCCACGCCGUAAACGAUGAAUACUAGGUGUGGGGGUUGUCAUGACCUCCGUGCCGUCGCAAACGCAUUAAGUAUUCCGCCUGGGGAGUACGGUCGCAAGAUUAAAACUCAAAGGAAUUGACGGGGGCCCGCACAAGCAGCGGAGCAUGUGGUUUAAUUCGAAGCAACGCGAAGAACCUUACCUAGACUUGACAUCUCCUGAAUUACUCUUAAUCGAGGAAGUCCCUUCGGGGACAGGAAGACAGGUGGUGCAUGGUUGUCGUCAGCUCGUGUCGUGAGAUGUUGGGUUAAGUCCCGCAACGAGCGCAACCUUAUUGUUAGUUGCUACCAUUAAGUUGAGCACUCUAGCAAGACUGCCGUGGUUAACGCGGAGGAAGGUGGGGAUGACGUCAAAUCAUCAUGCCCCUUAUGUCUAGGGCUACACACGUGCUACAAUGGUGAGUACAAAGAGACGCAAUACCGUGAGGUGGAGCAAAACUCAAAAACUCAUCCCCAGUUCGGAUUGUAGGCUGCAACUCGCCUACAUGAAGUUGGAGUUGCUAGUAAUCGCGAAUCAGAAUGUCGCGGUGAAUACGUUCCCGGGCCUUGUACACACCGCCCGUCACACCAUGAGAGCUGGUAACACCCGAAGUCCGUGAGGUAACCGCAAGGAGCCAGCGGCCGAAGGUGGGAUUAGUGAUUGGGGUGAAGUCGUAACAAGGUAGCCGUAGGAGAACC